rnacentral:rRNA from 1 species
GAUGAACGCUGGCGGCGUGCCUAAUACAUGCAAGUCGAGCGAACGGACGAGAAGCUUGCUUCUCUGAUGUUAGCGGCGGACGGGUGAGUAACACGUGGAUAACCUACCUAUAAGACUGGGAUAACUUCGGGAAACCGGAGCUAAUACCGGAUAAUAUUUUGAACCGCAUGGUUCAAAAGUGAAAGACGGUCUUGCUGUCACUUAUAGAUGGAUCCGCGCUGCAUUAGCUAGUUGGUAAGGUAACGGCUUACCAAGGCAACGAUGCAUAGCCGACCUGAGAGGGUGAUCGGCCCCACUGGAACUGAGACACGGUCCAGGCUCCUACGGGAGGCAGCAGUCGGGAAUCUUCCGCAAUGGGCGAAAGCCUGACGGAGCAACGCCGCGUGAGUGAUGAAGGUCUUCGGAUCGUAAAACUCUGUUAUUAGGGAAGAACAUAUGUGUAAGUAACUGUGCACAGCUUGACGGCACCUAAUCAGAAAGCCACGGCUAACUACGUG